AAUGCCCUCCGUCGUCACCCCUUAACAAGCGUUACCCGCGUUCGGACUGCUGCGUUGCGGCGCACCCCCUGCUUCCGGAAGCCCAACAUUUGGGGACAGUCUCCCUUUCUUCCCACAGCCGCGCUAUUGGCGGCCGUGAACUGCCAUGGAAGUCUCCUUCGGGGCCGGUUGAGACACGGUCGUCGGCGCCUUA
rnacentral:rRNA from 1 species